UACAGAGGCCUCGAGCGUUAAUCGGAGUCACUGGGCUUAAAGGGUGCGUAGGCCGCCCCGCAAGUGCUUUGUGAAAUCCCACGGCUCAACCGUGGAAUCGCUUGGCAGACUGCGGGGCUUGAGGUCGGUAGGGGCAGCCGGAACUCUAGGUGGAGCGGUGAAAUGCGUAGAUAUCUAGAGGAACGCCAAAGGUGAAGACAGGCUGCUGGGCCGAUUCUGACGCUGAGGCACGAAAGCGUGGGUAGCGAAC
rnacentral:rRNA from 1 species